GAUCGCACACCAGCUACCAUGCGCAAGGGCAUGGGCUCCCUUGUUGCCCUUGUUGCCUGGUCCAUCUGUAAGCACCGCAACUCAUGCAUCUUUGACGGCACGCAACCAUCUCAAACCCGCCUUCUGCAGGUCAUCUAUGAUGAGGCCCGUGAGUGGGCCGCCACUGGUGCCAAAGGACUGAGCAUGAUCAUCCCUGUAGCGUAG
rnacentral:rRNA from 1 species